ACGAACGCUGGCGGCGUGCUUAACCCAUGCAAGUCGAACGGAAAGGCCCUGCUUUUGUGGGGUGCUCGAGUGGCGAACGGGUGAGUAACACGUGAGUAACCUGCCCUUGACUUUGGGAUAACUUCAGGAAACUGGGGCUAAUACCGGAUAGGAGCUCCUGCUGCAUGGUGGGGGUUGGAAAGUUUCGGCGGUUGGGGAUGGACUCGCGGCUUAUCAGCUUGUUGGUGGGGUAGUGGCUUACCAAGGCUUUGACGGGUAGCCGGCCCGAGAGGGUGACCGGCCACAUUGGGACUGAGAUACGGCCCAGACUCCUACGGGAGGCAGCAGUGGGGAAUAUUGCACAAUGGGCGGAAGCCUGAUGCAGCAACGCCGCGUGCGGGAUGACGGCCUUCGGGUUGUAAACCGCUUUCGCCUGUGACGAAGCGUGAGUGACGGUAAUGGGUAAAGAAGCACCGGCUAACUACGUG
rnacentral:rRNA from 1 species